AUAUGCAGAUCUGACAUAGAAGACCACGUUCCUCAGGGAUCCCAGAAUAUAUUAGACAAUAUGGUAGUCCAAUGCUGUUUUGAAGUAUAUAUUGGCACCAUGCUGAAAAAGGACAUGACAGGAAGUGAAGACGACCAGUCAUCGCGCCAUAUUCCCGUGAGCUCCAUUCAUAUUACUAUAUGCUUAAAACAUCGUGCUCUCCUUCUCUACAUCAUGUGGUUUGGUAUCAAACUCUCAAAAAGGAAAAACAACUUUACUCUGUUUUUUGGAGAACCUUCCUGUAGAGUACCUUGACAGAGACAAAUAUGCGAUCAAGGAUACAUUUGAUGGAUUUUCACGCAAAACUUGGAGGAUAUUUUUUGCAGAUAGUUUGGUGCUCUCAUGGUUAUUUUAUAGUGAUUUUUCUUCUGUUCAUUACUUGGUAACCAUCUACUGCAGCUUAGCUAUUGUCCAGUUGCUGACCUUAUGGUGAGUGAUUGAUGGUGCAUGUUUUCCUAUUAGUUUCUUUCUAUGCCAAUGUCUGAAUUUUAUCUUGCCGUUUUGCAUUUCUCCAGGCCUUUCAUUCUCACCGUGAUUCCCCGAGAUGCACUAUUAGUAGGCAUCCACUUUCUAAUAAAAAUUUGGCAGUCAACUUGAACGAGUCAUUUAUCUAGCUACAGCAACCUUCCUUGCUUUUGCAGUCAACUUGAACGAGUCUAUACCUGCCAAAUAUUUACACGUUAGUAUAGCCAGAAAGUCAGAUGAUCGUUCCAUGUUGGUUAGCCGUGAUAAAUCAAAUUUCUAGAGUAGCAGAUGAUUCGUGUCAGGUUUCCUUUAGAGAUUGAAAUAUGUCUUGACUCUAAAAUAAGUAGUACAGAGUCCAGUUCUGCAUAGGUGAAAGCAUACUAUCUAAAACUGGACGGCCUUCUAAAGCUCUGAAACUACUAUUUGUUGUGUAAUCUGUAUCCCCUUUUCAUACUCUAUAUAUGCUUUCUACUUACUAGGAAAAAAUGCGUGAGAGCGAUGUCUUGAGGAUGCGAAUUGCACUCAAAUAUAUGCAGGUUUCUUGCCAAAUUAACUGCCACUAUUUUAUUUCAGGUGCUUCUUCUGUAACUUAGUGUAUUUUGCUGGCUCUUCUCAUUUCCUGGCGAACUUUUUAGUCUGUACAGUCGAAUCGUUGGAAGUUGUUUUCUACUAUCUAUAGAGGUUUUAUCCAAGCUAUUAGCUGCCUGACUUGCUUUUUUGAAGUACGCCAUCCUGAUAGACCAAGUGGACCCACACAUUUCCAUGGGAUUUUAGAAAAAUAUAUGUGAAUUUGCAUACAUUUUCUAAAUUUCUAUCUUUUCUUAUCCAUGCUUCCCCAUAGAUAUAUAGCAGGCUCAACAAAAAUGAAUGUCCGAUUGUGUUCAAAUUUCAAGGAAGUGUGCUUCACGCUUCUCUUUCUGCAAUAUUUUUCAGAGUAUAUGAUUUAAUUUUCCUACUUUCCCAGUUACAAUACUGUGUACUUCAUUCUUAGCUUUGCUUUGGGAAAAAUAGGUAUGCAGGUUAUCGAAAGCUCCAUUUUUCUCCAUUAUAUAGAUCAUAUAGCUUUGUGAUCGAAGGUAGGUUGUCACAUAUGGGAUGUUGCUUGUGAAAGUUAUAUACAGCCAUGAGUCCCUGACAAAAUAAUCGCAACUCAUGUUACUAGGAUCAGGGAACCUCGACCAUUUUUCUGAAACAUGUCGCAGCUCAUGUUCCUACUUUCCCAGCUACACUAUUAUGUACUUCAUUCUUACCUUCGCUUUUGGAAGUUACAUUGCUUUCUUUUCCCUCAUAAACUUGCUAACGAUAUUGGCGAAGUAAUCCCCACUUCAUAUUUCCCAUUGAAUAAAUAACUAAUUUAGUUUGUUGAAAAAUUGUAGGUCAAGAUCCAUGAAUAGGAGCAAGGCAUCACACCAGCUCUGAGAAGAAAAGGAUAUGAAGACAAAGAUAGACCAGUGUUCUGCUCCGAAGCAAAAACAUUUUGCGUGUAAUAAUGAACUGUAAUUUACCACAAUCUCUCUACAACAGGCCUACCUAUUACCAGUCCGUUGCUUGCUUUUGUAUUAGGAAGUAUGACCCAGUCAUAUAUAUUUACAUUCACGUUGUUUAGUUAUGGUUUGUAUGCAUGAAAAUACCUUUUUAAUCUAGCUUCAAAAUUCUUAUGUGCAGUGAAAUUGUAUCUAGCACUUUGUAAAGAACAAAUGAAACACAUUUCAAAUAACUCUUUAGUCUAAAUUGA